rnacentral:rRNA from 1 species
CACGCCGUAAACGAUGAGUGCUAAGUGUUAGAGGGUUUCCGCCCUUUAGUGCUGCAGCUAACGCAUUAAGCACUCCGCCUGGGGAGUACGGCCGCAAGGCUGAAACUCAAAGGAAUUGACGGGGGCCCGCACAAGCGGUGGAGCAUGUGGUUUAAUUCGAAGCAACGCGAAGAACCUUACCAGGUCUUGACAUCUCCUGACAAUCCUAGAGAUAGGACGUUCCCCUUUUAGGGGACAGGAUGACAGGUGG